GGCUCGAUAGCUCAGUCGGUAGAGCAAGGGACUGAAAAUCCCUGUGUCGGCGGUUCGAUUCCGUCUCGAGCCACCA
rnacentral:tRNA from 8 species